rnacentral:rRNA from 2 species
UGGGGAAUUUUGCACAAUGGGGGAAACCCUGAUGCAGCGACGCCGCGUGAUUUAGAAGGCCUUCGGGUUGUAAAAAUCUUUUCUAUGGGAAGAAAAUGACAGUACCAUAGGAAUAAGGACCGGCUAAUUACGUGCCAGCAGCCGCGGUAAUACGUAAGGUCCGAGCGUUGUCCGGAAUCAUUGGGCGUAAAGGGUACGUAGGCGGGUAAGCAAGUUAGAAGUGAAAUCCUAUAGCUCAACUAUAGUAAGCUUUUAAAACUGCUCAUCUUGAGGUAUGGAAGGGAAAGUGGAAUUCCUAGUGUAGCGGUGAAAUGCACAGAUAUUAGGAGGAAUACCGGUGGCGAAGGCGACUUUCUGGCCAUAACCUGACGCUGAGGUACGAAAGCGUGGGUAGCAAACAGG